rnacentral:rRNA from 1 species
UACAGAGGGGGCAAGCGUUGUUCGGAAUUACUGGGCGUAAAGGGCGCGUAGGCGGCCUGCUAAGUCGAACGUGAAAUCCCUGGGCUCAACCCAGGAACUGCGUCCGAUACUGGUUGGCUUGAAUCCGGGAGAGGGAUGCGGAAUUCCAGGUGUAGCGGUGAAAUGCGUAGAUAUCUGGAGGAACACCGGUGGCGAAGGCGGCAUCCUGGACCAAUAUUGACGCUGAGGAGCGAAAGCCAGGGGAGCAAACGGG